rnacentral:rRNA from 1 species
AGUAGGGAUCUUCGGCAAUGGGGGCAACCCUGACCGAGCAACGCCGCGUGAGUGAAGAAGGUUUUCGGAUCGUAAAGCUCUGUUGUAAGUCAAGAACGAGUGUGAGAGUGGAAAGUUCACACUGUGACGGUAGCUUACCAGAAAGGGACGGCUAACUACGUGCCAGCAGCCGCGGUAAUACGUAGGUCCCGAGCGUUGUCCGGAUUUAUUGGGCGUAAAGCGAGCGCAGGCGGUUUGAUAAGUCUGAAGUUAAAGGCUGUGGCUCAACCAUAGUUCGCUUUGGAAACUGUCAAACUUGAGUGCAGAAGGGGAGAGUGGAAUUCCAUGUGUAGCGGUGAAAUGCGUAGAUAUAUGGAGGAACACCGGUGGCGAAAGCGGCUCUCUGGUCUGUAACUGACGCUGAGGCUCGAAAGCGUGGGGAGCGAACAGGAUUAGAUACCCUGGUAGUCCACGCCGUAAACGAUGAGUGCUAGGUGUUGGAUCCUUUCCGGGAUUCAGUGCCGCAGCUAACGCAUUAAGCACUCCGCCUGGGGAGUACGACCGCAAGGUUGAAACUCAAAGGAAUUGACGGGGCCGCC